UACGUAGGGGGCAAGCGUUGUCCGGAAUCAUUGGGCGUAAAGAGCGUGUAGGCGGCCCGAUAAGUCCGCUGUGAAAGUCCAGGGCUCAACCCUGGGAUGCCGGUGGAUACUGUCGGGCUCGAGUCCGGAAGAGGAGUGUGGAAUUCCUGGUGUAGCGGUGAAAUGCGCAGAUAUCAGGAGGACACCAACUGCGAAGGCAGCACUCUGGGACGUGACUGACGCUGAGACGCGAAAGCGUGGGGAGCAAACAGG
rnacentral:rRNA from 1 species